ACCUGCGGAAGGAUCAUUACCGAGUGUAGGGUUCCUAGCGAGCCCAACCUCCCACCCGUGUUUACUGUACCUUAGUUGCUUCGGCGGGCCCGCCAUUCAUGGCCGCCGGGGGCUCUCAGCCCCGGGCCCGCGCCCGCCGGAGACACCACGAACUCUGUCUGAUCUAGUGAAGUCUGAGUUGAUUGUAUCGCAAUCAGUUAAAACUUUCAACAAUGGAUCUCUUGGUUCCGGCAUCGAUGAAGAACGCAGCGAAAUGCGAUAACUAGUGUGAAUUGCAGAAUUCCGUGAAUCAUCGAGUCUUUGAACGCACAUUGCGCCCCCUGGUAUUCCGGGGGGCAUGCCUGUCCGAGCGUCAUUGCUGCCCAUCAAGCACGGCUUGUGUGUUGGGUCGUCGUCCCCUCUCCGGGGGGGACGGGCCCCAAAGGCAGCGGCGGCACCGCGUCCGAUCCUCGAGCGUAUGGGGCUUUGUCACCCGCUCUGUAGGCCCGGCCGGCGCUUGCCGAACGCAAAUCAAUCUUUUUCCAGGUGACCUCGAUCA
rnacentral:rRNA from 1 species